AUCAACGAUUCUUUUCUAGUACAGUCUCGGAAUUAUAAGAAGUUACAUUUCAAACAAUUACAAUCCAAUCGACGUUAUUCAUUCCACAUGCGAUUUACACGUUAUAAUACAUACACAUACGUAAAUGUCGUAACGUUUACAUGUGGAAUGAAUAACGGCGAUUGGAUUGUAAUUGUUUGAAAUGUAACUUCUUAUAAUUCUUCCAC